UACAGAGGUCUCAAGCGUUGUUCGGAUUCAUUGGGCGUAAAGGGUGCGUAGGUGGCGCCGUAAGUCGGGUGUGAAAUCUCGAGGCUCAACCUCGAAACUGCACUUGAUACUGCCUUGCUAGAGUACUGGAGAGGAGAUUGGAAUUUACGGUGUAGCAGUGAAAUGCGUAGAUAUCGUAAGGAAGACCAGGUGGCGAAGGCGGGUCUCUGGACAGUUCCUGACGCUGAGGCACGGAAGGUCAGGGGGAGCAAAACGGG
rnacentral:rRNA from 1 species